rfam:Ictidomys tridecemlineatus contig014573, whole genome shotgun sequence.
UGGGUUGUGGCUCAGUGGCAGAGCGCUUGUCUUGCACAUGUGAGGCACUGGGUUUGAUCCUCAGCACCACAA